rnacentral:rRNA from 1 species
CGGCGAUGUCCGAAUGGGGAAACCCAGUGCAAUUCGUUGCACUAUCGUUAACUGAAUACAUAGGUUAACGAGGCGAACCGGGGGAACUGAAACAUCUAAGUACCCCGAGGAAAAGAAAUCAACCGAGAUUCCCCCAGUAGCGGCGAGCGAACGGGGAGCAGCCCAGAGUCUGAAUCAGCUUGUGUGUUAGUGGAACGGUCUGGAAAGUCCGACGGUACAGGGUGAUAGUCCCGUACACCAAAAUGCACAGGCUGUGAACUCGAAGAGUAGGGCGGGACACGUGGUAUCCUGUCUGAAUAUGGGGGGACCAUCCUCCAAGGCUAAAUACUCCUGACUGACCGAUAGUGAACCAGUACCGUGAGGGAAAGGCGAAAAGAACCCCGGCGAGGGGAGUGAAAAAGAACCUGAAACCGUGUACGUACAAGCAGUGGGAGCACCUUCGGGUGUGACUGCGUACCUUUUGUAUAAUGGGUCAGCGACUUAUAUUCUGUAGCAAGGUUAACCGUAUAGGGGAGCCGCAGGGAAACCGAGUCUUAACUGGGCGUUAAGUUGCAGGGUAUAGACCCGAAACCCGGUGAUCUAGCCAUGGGCAGGUUGAAGGUUGGGUAACACUAACUGGAGGACCGAACCGACUAAUGUUGAAAAAUUAGCGGAUGACUUGUGGCUGGGGGUGAAAGGCCAAUCAAACCGGGAGAUAGCUGGUUCUCCCCGAAAGCUAUUUAGGUAGCGCCUCGUGAACUCAUCUUCGGGGGUAGAGCACUGUUUCGGCUAGGGGGUCAUCCCGACUUACCAACCCGAUGCAAACUACGAAUACCGAAGAAUGUUAUCACGGGAGACACACGGCGGGUGCUAACGUCCGUCGUGAAGAGGGAAACAACCCAGACCGCCAGCUAAGGUCCCAAAGUCAUGGUUAAGUGGGAAACGAUGUGGGAAGGCACAGACAGCCAGGAUGUUGGCUUAGAAGCAGCCAUCAUUUAAAGAAAGCGUAAUAGCUCACUGGUCGAGUCGGCCUGCGCGGAAGAUGUAACGGGGCUAAACCAUGCACCGAAGCUGCGGCAGCGACACUAUGUGUUGUUGGGUAGGGGAGCGUUCUGUAAGCCUGCGAAGGUGUGCUGUGAGGCAUGCUGGAGGUAUCAGAAGUGCGAAUGCUGACAUAAGUAACGAUAAAGCGGGUGAAAAGCCCGCUCGCCGGAAGACCAAGGGUUCCUGUCCAACGUUAAUCGGGGCAGGGUGAGUCGACCCCUAAGGCGAGGCCGAAAGGCGUAGUCGAUGGGAAACAGGUUAAUAUUCCUGUACUUGGUGUUACUGCGAAGGGGGGACGGAGAAGGCUAUGUUAGCCGGGCGACGGUUGUCCCGGUUUAAGCAUGUAGGCUGGUUAUCCAGGCAAAUCCGGAUAAUCAAGGCUGAGGUGUGAUGACGAGGCACUACGGUGCUGAAGUAACAAAUGCCCUGCUUCCAGGAAAAGCCUCUAAGCAUCAGGUAACAUCAAAUCGUACCCCAAACCGACACAGGUGGUCAGGUAGAGAAUACCAAGGCGCUUGAGAGAACUCGGGUGAAGGAACUAGGCAAAAUGGUGCCGUAACUUCGGGAGAAGGCACGCUGGUGUGUAGGUGAAGCCCCUGCGGGUGGAGCUGAGACCAGUCGAAGAUACCAGCUGGCUGCAACUGUUUAUUAAAAACACAGCACUGUGCAAACACGAAAGUGGACGUAUACGGUGUGACGCCUGCCCGGUGCCGGAAGGUUAAUUGAUGGGGUUAUCCGUAAGGAGAAGCUCUUGAUCGAAGCCCCGGUAAACGGCGGCCGUAACUAUAACGGUCCUAAGGUAGCGAAAUUCCUUGUCGGGUAAGUUCCGACCUGCACGAAUGGCGUAAUGAUGGCCAGGCUGUCUCCACCCGAGACUCAGUGAAAUUGAACUCGCUGUGAAGAUGCAGUGUACCCGCGGCAAGACGGAAAGACCCCGUGAACCUUUACUAUAGCUUGACACUGAACAUUGAGCCUUGAUGUGUAGGAUAGGUGGGAGGCUUUGAAGCGUGGACGCCAGUCUGCGUGGAGCCAACCUUGAAAUACCACCCUUUAAUGUUUGAUGUUCUAACGUUGGCCCCUGACCGGGGUUGCGGACAGUGUCUGGUGGGUAGUUUGACUGGGGCGGUCUCCUCCCAAAGCGUAACGGAGGAGCACGAAGGUUAGCUAAUCCUGGUCGGACAUCAGGAGGUUAGUGCAAUGGCAUAAGCUAGCUUGACUGCGAGCGUGACGGCGCGAGCAGGUGCGAAAGCAGGUCAUAGUGAUCCGGUGGUUCUGAAUGGAAGGGCCAUCGCUCAACGGAUAAAAGGUACUCCGGGGAUAACAGGCUGAUACCGCCCAAGAGUUCAUAUCGACGGCGGUGUUUGGCACCUCGAUGUCGGCUCAUCACAUCCUGGGGCUGAAGUAGGUCCCAAGGGUAUGGCUGUUCGCCAUUUAAAGUGGUACGCGAGCUGGGUUUAGAACGUCGUGAGACAGUUCGGUCCCUAUCUGCCGUGGGCGCUGGAGAAUUGAGGGGGGCUGCUCCUAGUACGAGAGGACCGGAGUGGACGCAUCACUGGUGUUCGGGUUGUCAUGCCAAUGGCACUGCCCGGUAGCUAAAUGCGGAAGAGAUAAGUGCUGAAAGCAUCUAAGCACGAAACUUGCCCCGAGAUGAGUUCU